rnacentral:rRNA from 1 species
CAAGUCGAACGAAUCUUCUUCGGAAGAUGAGUGGCGAACGGGUGAGUAAUACAUAGGUAACCUGCCCCUGUGCGGGGGAUAACAGGAGGAAACUCCUGCUAAUACCGCAUAGCCAUGAGCACCGCAUGGAGCUCAUGCCAAAUAUCCUUUCGGGGAUAGCGCAGGGAUGGACCUAUGAUGCAUUAGCUUGUUGGCGGGGCAACGGCCCACCAAGGCAACGAUGCGUAGCCGGCCUGAGAGGGCGGACGGCCGCAUUGGGACUGAGACACGGCCCAGACUCCUACGGGAGGCAGCAGUAGGGAAUUUUCGGCAAUGGGGGAAACCCUGACCGAGCAACGCCGCGUGAGCGAAGAAGGCCUUCGGGUCGUAAAGCUCUGUUGUAAAGGAAGAACGGCGCAUACAGGAAAUGGUAUGCGAGUGACGGUACUUUACCAGAAAGCCACGGCUAACUACGUGCCAGCAGCCGCGGUAAUACGUAGGUGGCGAGCGUUAUCCGGAAUCAUUGGGCGUAAAGAGGGAGCAGGCGGCCGCAAGGGUCUGUGGUGAAAGACCGAAGCUAAACUUCGGUAAGCCAUGGAAACCGGGCGGCUAGAGUGCGGAAGAGGAUCGUGGAAUUCCAUGUGUAGCGGUGAAAUGCGUAGAUAUAUGGAGGAACACCAGUGGCGAAGGCGACGGUCUGGGCCGCAACUGACGCUCAUUCCCGAAAGCGUGGGGAGCAAAUAGGAUUAGAUACCCUAGUAGUCCACGCCGUAAACGAUGGUCACUAAGUGUCGGGGGUCAAACCCCGGUGCUGCAGUCAACGCAAUGAGUGACCCGCCUGAGUAGUACGUUC